AUUGAACGCUGGCGGCAGGCCUAACACAUGCAAGUCGAGCGGAUGAAGGGAGCUUGCUCCUGGAUUCAGCGGCGGACGGGUGAGUAAUGCCUAGGAAUCUGCCUGGUAGUGGGGGAUAACGUCCGGAGACGGGCGCUAAUACCGCAUACGUCCUGAGGGAGAAAGUGGGGGAUCUUCGGACCUCACGCUAUCAGAUGAGCCUAGGUCGGAUUAGCUAAUUGGUGGGGUAAAGGCCUACCAAGGCGACGAUCCGUAACUGGUCUGAGAGGAUGAUCAGUCACACUGGAACUGAGACACGGUCCAGACUCCUACGGGAGGCAGCAGUGGGGAAUAUUGGACAAUGGGCGAAAGCCUGAUCCAGCCAUGCCGCGUGUGUGAAGAAGGUCUUCGGAUUGUAAAGCACUUUAAGUUGGGAGGAAGGGCAGUAAGUUAAUACCUUGCUGUUUUGACGUUACCAACAGAAUAAGCACCGGCUAACUUCGUG
rnacentral:rRNA from 1 species